AGGACACACCCCACGGCAUUGAUGGCUGCAGGAUCAAAGUUCACCGUGACUUCUUCCGGGUCUGGGGUAACACCCAAACGUUCGCAUGCGUUCACUGUCGCCCUCAGGAACUCUUCGUAGGUUUUCCUUGUCUUGCUUACCAUGAGGGCGAAGACUGCUGGAACUACACUCUGCCCCAAAGACCCUUACUUCAUCUCGGGGAGCCCUGUAUAUGGAAACUUGCGCCAACAUACCCUCGUCAUCGAUAGCACUUUAUUUAGCGAAGGAACUUGCUCUAUGGUUGUUCAAGGUACAGUGGCAGGAUGAAGACCCAUGGGUAUCAGGUAGGCUUAAUCCACAGCAGUCACUGUUGCAAGGUAGGUAAACUAGGUAGGUUUCCACGUCUGCCUCCAUGUUUUGUGUGUAUACAAUGUGUAACUCGGUGUCCAAGACAGUUGUAACAAAGCAGCUCGUAACCUGAAUGAUAUGUGUGGCAUCACAGGGACGUAUCGUUUGGGUGGGGAACCAUUUGGUUGAACUACUUUCAGUGCUUGCUGUAUCUGUCUGCAUAACUAACACACUGCUUACUGGAAGGUGUCACACCAUUUUGCAGUGAUACAGAUAUGUGGAAAUACGAAAUGUGGUACAAAGACUAUGGUAUGGUUAGGCAAUAUCACAGCUUAGUGCAUUUACAAAAUUGGCAACAGCAACAGUAAAUGAUGGAAAAAUGAUGAGGACAUGGGAUGUUUCCCCCAUAAUAGCCACGGGACCCUACCCAACAAGACUGAAGUAUGCGUGUAUACCUGCCAACUUCUCGAUUAUGCGGGAAACUCCUGAAUUUCGUUCAGUCUCCCGAUUUUAUGGACUCACCCUCCAAUCUCCCGGAAAACUGGGGCUUUAAGCUUUUCUUCUCUCAUUUUCAUUUAUGGGGGACGUGGGUUUCGAGACCAACUUUGCUUAUUUCUGGUCCAAUCUUGAUGAAAAUUGGUGGAAAUGUUUGUGGUGUGUCUGGAAUAACUCUGCAAAAGUUUCAAAAAGAUACUCUUUGCAGAUUUUUUAAUAUAAAUUUUUUAUUUUCAUCUACACGGCUUGUGGAGGGGCUACAGACCUAACAAACUAUGAUAGAAGCGGGCUGUAACUUGCUGUGUACUCCCAAAUGAUACCUUCACUGAGUGACAUUCUUCCUUUAUUUUUCUUCUCACACGAGAAUUUUCACCUGCCAUUUUUCAUUGUGUGGUAAAAACCAGCCAGUCUGUUCUGUGUACAAAUACAUGUGCUAAAAAUCUGGGGUCGUCCAACUUGAAAAAGUAAGAAUGUGACGAAGAGCACCAGUCUUCCAAGAGUGUAACGAAACAAACAGGGCCAAGAUAGCGCCAUUAGUCAUGGAGCUACAGUCGCUGACCGAUUUUUCGGACCCCGAUUUUUCGGACGUGCUCGAUUAUUCGGACUCGUUCGCAGAACAGUCGCGGGUCCCAUAGAGUUGAUGUAUGAGAACGUCAAAAAUUUCGGACGCCGUGCAGCUCCGUCGCUCGAUAUUUCUGACUCUGUUUGCCCAACACGCGAAUUUCUCUCUUGGGGUGACGGAAAAUAUUGGUAUCAUCUGAAAUUCGUAUCGAAAGAAAUCAACGAACUAAAAUGUUGAGGAAAAAAAACAGGCAGUGAUGAUUGUUCAUUUUCCAUUACUCUGAGUAGAAGAGGUCUGUCAUAGCGCUUUUGCGUCUUCGUUUUUGGCCAACGGCCCAGCACGUGCUGUCCGCCCGCGAGUCGCGCUACAGCGCUGUAAAGCGAGCUUCACCUAAAACACGCAUGCGUUAGGUGAAGCCGACUUGCAGACUUGAUGACGGCGGUGCCUCUCACAGUGUACGUUGACAAAAUGUCGCUUCGGGAAAUAGAAGCUGAUGUUAUCAGGUAGAGUUGGAAGCGCGUUAGGAAAGCAUCGACAAAUUUUUCCAGUCUACUAGGGCUUAGUAAAGUUUAUUUUGAAGCGAAAUUCGUUUUUUCGGACUGCUCGAUUAUUCGGACUUUUGCGCGAUCCCCGCCGAGUCCGAAAAAUCGGACGGCGACUGUAUCUGCUCCACGAGCAGAGCAAGUAGUGAAAAAACCUAUUUUGAGAAAACAGGCUUCAAAGUUUUGAACAACAUUUGCUACACUAAAAAGCGCCAGAAUUGUAAUCCUUCUUGUUGCUCUCGUCACGGGCCUUCUUUGCCUUCUUUGCCUUAGUCUCGUGAGCUUUGGACGCCUUCUUGCGACGCAAGUGGUCCUUUUCGGAAGACCUCCGUAGUGCAUGAACACCGGGCUGGAGUCCAAUUGAUUUGCAGAACUCGGUGUAUGCACGGGGGGGUGCCAGAAUUAUAUCUACAAAUAGCCUCACUCACAGCGGCCUCCACUGUAACCAGUGACGCAUGUUCAUCCUUUGACAGCAGAGACCAUAUCACUGAGUGGAGGCUCUCCGCAGCAUUUUGUGUGUUUUUUUCCCUGACACCUCUCUAGCAGCUGAGGUUCAGAGAGGCGCCGGUAUACGGGAAAUAGUGCUUCAGCGACAUGGCUUGCCAGCCGGUAUUUAUGUGGUGGCUGAGGCUUCCCAUCUGCUUCGGCUGCUUGGUGCCUGCACCAACUUGCAGGGCCUUCUGGACAGAGCUCGUGGUGUGGAUCGUCAUCUGUUGAAGUCACAUGGUAAUAUGUGGCCAUGACGGCUAGCUGCAUGUCCGCUACCUCGCCGCUGCUUCUCAGUGCCAGACCAUAGUAGUUCGUCAAUUUCUUGAUAAGGUCUUGGGUGAGCCCACCACGUCCGCCCAGGGGUUUGUCUUUUUUGCUUUUUGCAACGAGGGAGCACAAUGCGGAGCCCAUACGCUUCUUGACAUGGUUUAUGCAGUCCUCCUUUUUCAGUUGUAUAAAACCGUAGGUCCUGUCUUCACACAGUGCCAAAAACGUCCUGCUGUCCCCGUCUCAUACGAUAUCCGUGUACCUUAGGUCGUUUUUUUCAAGAGAGCACCUAAAAAGUUGAAGGGCAGCCUCUACUUCCAUUCCAGAAGAGUUUGAGUCAGUGUUUUUUUUUGGCAUGCAUGCGACUCCUUCCAUUCGGCAUAGCCAUCUUCGUCCUCUUUUGGGCCUGUUGUGCAACCCAGGCACCAGUUAGAAAGCACAGUCGAGUCUAGGACAAGUCCGGUGUAGAAGUCUAUUACUGUGCCCACACCAAUAUGCGAGGUACGGCCACAGGUCAGCCAUGUCCCGUCAUAAACGACAGUUAUAUUCUUGGUAAAAGUGUCAUCCAUUUCCUUGUAGACCUCUCGAACAGCACCAACCGCGUCCUUGAAAAUAUUUUCGGCUGCAGCAGAAGCAGCAGGGGCAAAGGUCUGCUUCAGGUGCUCCUGAAAUGUUUUAUGAUGGAGACCUCGGUGCGAGACGUUCAUUAUGGCCCAAAAGUCGGUGAGGGCAGUAGAGCCUUUCCCAAUGCUCUUGAUUGCUUGCAUAGCUCUCAAAUUUACUUGGAAGGCUCUACUACCCUCCUUACGUGGCGAGGACCACCCCGUUGCGACUGUCCCGCAUUUGUCACACGUUAGUUCCAUCUUCACUGCUAGUCCGAGUCUUGUGCUCGGCACAACCCUAAUGCCGGGCUCCAGGCAUUCCUGGCAUGGGGUGUUGCUCAGUAGCAUGUUUAGUUCCGCGAUUUGGCACAUCAUAAACUCCUCGGAAUCCGGAACGUCAGCGGAUCCCUGGCUGUCACCCGUCAGGUUGAUCUUCUGCUCGGUCGCGGACACUGCGCUAAGCGAUGCCUGCACAGAUUCACUUUUCUCACGUGA